UACAGAGGGUGCAAGCGUUAAUCGGAAUUACUGGGCGUAAAGCGUGCGUAGACGGUUAUGUAAGUCAGAUGUGAAAUCCCCGGGCUCAACCUGGGAACUGCAUCUGUGACUGCAUAGCUAGAGUACGGUAGAGGGGGAUGGAAUUCCGCGUGUAGCAGUGAAAUGCGUAGAUAUGCGGAGGAACACCGAUGGCGAAGGCAAUCCCCGGGACCUGUACUGACGCUCAUGCACGAAAGCGUGGGGAGCAAACAGG
rnacentral:rRNA from 1 species